CCUACGGGACGCACCAGUGGGGGAUAUUGCACAAUGGGCGCAAGCCUGAUGCAGCCAUGCCGCGUGUAUGAAGAAGGCCUUCGGGUUGUAAAGUACUUUCAGCGGGGAGGAAGGUGUUGUGGUUAAUAACCACAGCAAUUGACGUUACCCGCAGAAGAAGCACCGGCUAACUCCGUGCCAGCAGCCGCGGUAAUACGGAGGGUGCAAGCGUUAAUCGGAAUUACUGGGCGUAAAGCGCACGCAGGCGGUCUGUCAAGUCGGAUGUGAAAUCCCCGGGCUCAACCUGGGAUCUGCACUCGAAACUGGCAGGCUAGAGUCUUGUAGAGGGGGGUAGAAUUCCAGGUGUAGCGGUGAAAUGCGUAGAGAUCUGGAGGAAUACCGGUGACGAAGGCGGCCCCCUGGACAAUGACUGACGCUCAGGUGCGAAAGCGUGGGGAGCAAACAGGAUUAGAUACCCGAGUAGUC
rnacentral:rRNA from 1 species